GGGCGCUUGGUCUAGGGGUAUGAUUUUCGCUUCGCAUCAUAAAACGUGCGUACUUGUGAAAGGUCGUGGGUUCAAUUCCCACAGCGUCCA